rnacentral:misc_RNA from 1 species
GAAUUUAGAGCAUGUACUAGUUACAGCUUGACCCCCACUUUCUAACACUGUGCAUUUUUUGGCGGAAAAGAUGAAAAAUCAAGACUUUACAGUUUUGAUUGACUAGUUCUUUUCUGCGGCUUACUUUUAAACAUUAGUAUAAGUAUGUAAAGAAAUAUCGAAAUAAAAAAAAACUUUCAACAACGGAUCUCUUGGCUCU